rnacentral:rRNA from 1 species
UACGUAGGCAGCAGGCGUUGUUCGGAGUUACUGGGCGUAAAGGGUGCGUAGGCGGCCUUAUAAGUAUGGUGUGAAAUCUCCCGGCUUAACUGGGAGGGUGCGCUAUAGACUGUGGGGCUAGAGUGUGGGAGAGGAAAGUGGAAUUCCUGGUGUAGCGGUGAAAUGCGUAGAUAUCAGGAGGAACACCGGUGGUGUAAACGGCUUUCUGGACCAUAACUGACGCUGAGGCACGAAAGCGUGGGUAGCAAACAGG